GUCUAAAGAAAAAGAAAAAUUGGUUAAUAAGAGAAAAUUGGGGGGAGGGAGAGUAGAGAGGCGGUAAUUCAGACCUAUGAGGAGACUGGCAUCUAAACAAGCAGAAAUUCUGGCUCUGGUGCCAGCACUCUGAUGAGGAAUGUAAAGUAAAACAUCAGGUGUUUGAUGUAUCCACUAUCCACAAAUGUAGGUGGGGGACAAGGGCCAGUAACAGCCAGCUGUUGAUUUGCUUGUCCUUCCAACAACUGGCUCAUUUGCUAAGAACUAUGAAUUUCUUUUAAAAAUAAUUUUAAGUGUUUUUCAGUUACCGUUGACAUCCAAUAUUAUAUUAGUUUCAGGUACAUAGCAUGGUGAACAUGAUGAAAUUCUUACUUGGGGGAAGGAUGUCUGGAGAAAGGCACAUUUACAGAAGAGAAAGGGGAUGGAGAGAUGGGAGGGUCUCUUGGGUUUCCUGCUGCGUAGGGCCCGAUGUUUAAGGUCCUGACUAUAAGAUCCCAAAAACCUCGCUACAGGGAUACUGUGGCCAUAAGGAGCCUCUCUCUAGCAAACCAAGACCUCAGACCAAUCAGUCCCUCAGACAUUUCCAAGGGAAGCAAGAAAACAGACACUGGGUUCCCGGGGCAAGAGAUAGAGCUGUCAAAUCUGUUAUCAUCCCAGGCAGCAAAAGUGCCUCAUUACUGCCCAUUCCUGCUGUAAAUGACGCUGGAUCCCAGCCAUUAGGAUUUGGGCAUCACACCAAUGGCCCUUGAGGUACUGAAGGAAAGCGCCCAGCAAAAUACAUGGCACACUAACAGCUCUUCCCUGUUUAAUAGGCUCAGUUUCCUUCUUCCAGACCUAAAUGUAUUUGUAUGACCGAAGAACUGUGUAUUUUUCUGCUUAAUUCCCUUUCUUUUGGAUCCUCUUUCUUUGGAUGUGUGUCUAACUGAAAUGGAGAGCCUCAGGCCAGCUCAGAUUUCGUAUGCGGACCUCUAGUCAGAAAAAGGUCUUGGUGAACUAUGAAAGGCCCUUGGCUCAGUGCUAACCAGAAGAAUGUGAGCUGAGAAUGUUCUAAUAUGGCAGAAUCUCCUUGUUGGGGAUCCCUGAUGUUUCAAGUACACCUGGUUUCAAAACAGUUGAUGCUGCCAAUAAAAAAGAAAGUAAGUGGGGUUCUGCCUCCUGCACCACUUACACUGACUGUAGAGGAACCUAGUCAAGCAAAAUUGAGCUUGAUCAGCAGAUUAUCAUUCUAAUUUAAUCCAUUUCUACAUUCCUAAGAUUCAUCCAUGUUGUUGUAUUUAGCCUGUGGUACAGCCAUGCUAUGUAAUGUUCACCUUGGGGACAUAGCUCGGUUUAUCCAUUCAAUGUUGAUGGGCUUUUGGGGUAGUUUUUCAGUUCUGCUGCUCUGAACUGUGCUACUAGAAACAUCUUCAUGUGUUUCCUGUUCAUAUAUGCAAGAGUUCCUCUAAAGCUUAUACCUAGGAGUGGAAUUGCUGGGUCAGAGUAUAUGAACAAUCGACUCUGUGAGAUAAGGCCAAAUUGUUUUCCAAAAACGGUUAUACAUAUACACUCCCACCAGCAAUGCAUGCAUGUUCUUGUUGAUCCACCUUUUCCUCCCCAACACUUGUAUUCAGACUUAAUUUUUGCCAGUCUCAUUGUGGGUUUGAUUUACAUUUCCCUGAUUGCUAAUGAAGUGAACAUCUUUUCUUAUAUGUAUUGGCCAUGUGGGUUUCUCUAAGGUGAAAGUGCUUCUUUCUGUCUCUUGUCCAUUUUUCUACUGAGUUGUUUUAGUGUAGGAUUUCCCCAAAGUUUACACGUCCAAGUAAGUUAGCAAAUGCAGCACAUUCUCUAAUGGAGAAUCACCAGGCAUACCUACAUAUUCAAGGCUCUGGUAAGUCCUGUAGUAAGGAAACUUGUUCAACUUUGUUCAGCCUAACACUCCCCAGAGGUACUUGUCCACAGAACCCUUUUGUGCCUAACAUCUCUUAAAUGUUGGGAAAGAUAAUUUGGAAAGGCUACUUUAGGUAAAACAUAUGGUGUAACAUAAAGACCAUAGGCGCUUAGGGGCCAGCCAGAGGCAGAACUUGAACUCAGGUCUAUCACCUGUUCUGUGACCCUGGGUGAGUCACUCUGCUCUCCUGGCAUCUCCGCUGUCUCAUCAGUGGAGUAAUUCCCACUUCACAGUGUUGCUGUGACAAUGAAAUGAGAUACAAGAUGUAAAGAGCCUAGCACUGCUUGGUUUUCAAUAAAUGUGGAUUCUGUUCUUCUCCUUCCUCUUCGGGGUCGGUCUGCUUUUUGGCCAUUCUCCUCCACAACAAACAAGAUGGAACAGAUAAAACAGAGAAUCCUAAGCAGAGCUUGAUCAACAGAUAAGGUUGGUUUGAUUUUGUUUUUUACGCUUGUGUUUUCAAAUGUUCUGAAAUCAAAUUCUAGGAUCAUUUAAUAGCCACUGUAGCUUCUUGAAACUACUUUGUCUUCAGAAUAAUCUACAGAUAGGGUUACUUUACUACAUACUGUGUGCCUCACACAGGCAAGAGAGAGAAAAAUGGAGUAGCGAUUUGAGCAAAAAGCUUAAACCAAGAGCUCUGAAAUGACAAUUCCCCAUUUAUUUAACAUUUACGAGCUGCACGCUAAGUUUUUCCUGAAGAAUCCCAUCUUUUUACCUUUAUACCUCUAACUGCCUGCUCAUAGUCUUGCUCCUCAAGUCCUGUGCUCUCAAGUAUCAAUCUACUCCUCAAUGAAAUCAGCACCUCCAGUUAACAUGAAUCCAGGGCAUUGCUUUCAGACCCAGCUCCCUCCUCUGGCCUUUGAGUGCCCACGUGUUGGACCCUCCCUGCAUCUAGGACCUCACGCCAAAGCACCCUCCCUGACUCAUUACACCGGUUGCUCAGCCUUAGAAAACUUGCACCAGCUGCCUAUCUCAUAGCUGGUUGCUCAUUACUGAGGUCUUGACUUAAAUGUCAUUUAUUCAUUGAAGACUCUGUCCAGCUAAAGCAAAACAGGCUCCUAGUCACUUCAUUAUCUUGCUUUCCUUUCUUCAUAGUAGGAAUCACUGCAGUUUAUUUACCUAUCGCCUGUCUCUCUACUAGGAUACAGGCUCUACCAGCAUGGACCUGGUUGGUCUUGCUCACUGACACCUACAACAAUGCAGGCAUUGUCUAUGGAGAGCUUCAGGUCAGCUCCCAUUUCAUAUGCUAGUCAAAUCAACAAUGCUGGGACACACUUAAAAAAAAAAUCAUUUAAACAAAGUUUGAACUGAGGAUGUUUUCUGCCCAUGAUCUCAUCAUUCCCACCGGCUGAAAAGGAGAGUAGAGUAAAGGUGCCAGCCAGUUCCACUGGAGACAGGGUUCAAUAUAAGGACCUUUGCCGGAAAUGCCAGCCCUCAUAUAACAUGUCCACUAGGGGCACGUUAUAGAUCAGAAUCUGUACCUGCAUGUGAGAAAGUACAGCAGGUCCUCAAAGAACAUUGUUUCAGUGUUGUUUCAUUAUAACAUUGAUGAGAUGCUGUAGGAAUCUAACUCUUGUGUUCAUCAAUUAGCCUAUGGUAAUGCGUUGUUUCUCUUAAAGUUGCAGAAGCUAUUGACAAUGUUAAGUGAGGACCUACUGUACUGAAUAUGUUAGCAGGUAACAAUAUGGUCCCAAUGAGAACAAAUCUAGGGCUACUUUGGAGUUCUCUGAUCUCCAGGCAAACUCCUUAAUGUUUUUCUAAUUUGAAAGAGACUACAAAGUACAGCUAGAGUCCUGAGAUUAAAAUAUUUAUUACAUACAUUUUAAAUGACUCCCUUUGGAAAACGAUAGAUACUUUUUUAUUAUCCAAGUCCCUCUUCCUUGCUAGGAGUGCAUAUAAAACAACUGCUACACGAGGCUGCACUCUAAAGACACACACUUGUUGAGUCUAGGUAGGGAAUGAGUCAUUACACUACUGAUGUGAAUAGUUAAUAACUUGACAAAUAUUUGUACUAUCUUUGUUGACUAUAGAAAACUCCUCAAAGUGUUCGUUUUAGAAAAUAAAAUUCUGUAGAUGCUGGGAAUGUGAGAUCUUGGGCAAUCUGCAAUUGCAUGAAAUGAACUAGCCUAGUGGUUGCUGUGGUCCCUCGGCCGCUGUGUCCCCAGCACAGCAUGGGUUUAUUCGUUUAAUGCAUAAUAUCAAGUUGCCUAGAGAAAGAAACUGGUUCUAGCAAAGCCUACUCUUAGUUCCCCCAUCAUGAAAAGCAAUUUUUUCAUUUUGAAACAUUUAAAAAAUACAUAAGCUACUGAUAUCCAGAAAUGACCAUGACAUAACUUUGUUUAAAGAGUUCAGAACAAAAUACAACACAGCACACAAAGACAACACUGCUAGCAAAUGAACACAUUCAAUCACAGGUUUCACACGGGAUGGCUUUUUGGUGUAACAUCAGCAGCUGUGGAAAUAUAAAUAUUAUAUAUAAUUGGCCCUGCUUUCUGGAAAAAUACCUAAUUGAGUUAUAGAAAACAUGUUUGGUCUCCUGACUGGAAAAUAUUUGGAUAUGAGAGAGGUGCUUACCUCUAGCUAGCAAACUAAGUAAGCACAGCCAAAGCUUUACUCAAAAUUCCUAGUCAACAUCAUCAUCCUUCACUUGACUGCGGCUGCUUGCAAAGGUGCACAUGUCUGUCAUCUGGAAAGAGUAGGAAGUCGCCCUGACUGGUGUGGCUCAGUUGGUUGGAAUGUCGUUCCAUGCACCUAAAGGUUGCAGGUUUGAUUCCUGGUCAUGGUACAUGCCUGGAUUGCAGGCUUGGCCCUUGGUGAGUAUAACUCCUGUGAGAGGCAGCCGAUUGAUGUUUCUCUCUCCCUCUUCCUCUUCCUUCCUCUCUAGAAUCAAUAAAAAAUAAAUAAAUUAAUUAAAGAAAGAGUAGGAAGUCUAUUUAGAAAAGGCUUCUUACUCUCCGAUUCACAUUGUCAAAACAGCUUAGUACUCCAUGUGCACUGGGUGUUAUUUCCUUAGGUAAAAUAAGCUAGGAGACUUGGAAGCAGGGCAAGUCUUAUAGCUUUAGCUAAUAAUAAAAAAUGCAUUUUUCUGUUUUAUAGUUUUUAAUUUUGGGUUUUGUUUUUCAGGUAGGAGAUUUGAGGGCUUGUCUUACAAUCUAGACCAGGAGCAAUGUCAUCUCUGUGGACUAACAUCUAUUAUUAAUACAAUAAACUAAGGAUGGAAAAUGUAAUACCACUAGCCACUAAAUGAUCUGGAAAUUUAGGCUCAGAGAGGUUCAACACCCAGAGUCACACAGGCAAGUGGUAGAGGGCUGAUUAGAUCUUCUCCAAUGCCUGCGCCCCAGGAACCUGUCAAGAGAUGCCCGGGAGACCUGUCAAGACUGUGUAUAAUGUAAAGGUAUAAUGAUGAUUGAGAAGGCAUCAGCUGAUUUGAGUGUUGAUGCCCAGGUGACAAAUGGUAUAUAGCAAGGAGGAUUCACUUAUUCAUUCCGCCCCCUUCCCUAUUUUUGGCACUGGUUUUCUAAACUUCCUCUAUGUCGGCAGUUACAACUAUACAUACAGCAUUUGAGCCACAAAA